rnacentral:rRNA from 1 species
AACUGCGAGUGAAGCGGGAAAAGCUCAAAUUUAAAAUCUGGCGGUCUUUGGCCGUCCGAGUUGUAGUCUGGAGAAGUGCUUUCCGCGCUGGACCGUGUACAAGUCUCUUGGAACAGAGCGUCAUAGAGGGUGAGAAUCCCGUCUUUGACACGGACUACCAGUGCUUUGUGAUGCGCUCUCAAAGAGUCGAGUUGUUUGGGAAUGCAGCUCUAAAUGGGUGGUAAAUUCCAUCUAAAGCUAAAUAUUGGCGAGAGACCGAUAGCGAACAAGUACCGUGAGGGAAAGAUGAAAAGCACUUUGGAAAGAGAGUUAAACAGUACGUGAAAUUGCUGAAAGGGAAACGCUUGAAGUCAGUCGCGUUGGCCGGGACUCAGCCUUGCUUUUGCUUGGUGCAUUUUCCGGUUGACGGGCCAGCAUCGAUUUUGACCGUCGGAAAAGGGCUGGGGAAAUGUGGCACCUUCGGGUGUGUUAUAGUCUCUAGUCGCAUACGGCGGUCGGGAUCGAGGAACGCAGCGCGCCGCAAGGCAGGGGUUCGCCCACUUUCGCGCUUAGGAUGCUGGCAUAAUGGCUUUAAACGACCCGUCUUGAAACACGGACCAAGGAGUCUAACUUACCUGCGAGUGUUUGGGUGGAAAACCCGAGCGCGUAAUGAAAGUGAAAGUUGAGACCUCUGUCGUGGAGGGCAUCGACGCCCGGACCUGACGUUCUCUGACGGAUCCGCGGUAGAGCAUGUAUGUUGGGACCCGAAAGAUGGUGAACUAUGCCUGAAUAGGGUGAAGCCAGAGGAAACUCUGGUGGAGGCUCGUAGCGAUUCUGACGUGCAAAUCGAUCGUCAAAUUUGGG